ACCUGGUUGGCUCAGUCAGAAGAGCAUGUGACUCUUGAUCUUAAGGUUGUGAGUUCAAGCCCCACAUUAGAUG
rnacentral:tRNA from 1 species